GGGGACUUCAAUGAAAUUAUGGUUGCCAGUGAAAAGGAAGGUGGAAAUACCAGAUCGCAACAAUACAUGCAGGACUUCAGAGACUGCAUGGAUGACCGUGAGUUACAAAAAGUGAUGACCAUUGGUGAUACUUUUACAUGGAGUAGAGGAGUUAUCGGAGAAAGGCUCGAUAGAGCUUUAUGCAACGAACAAUGGGCCAAGGAGUUCCUUUAUGUGGCUUUAAUCCAUGAGCAUCAUGUCCAUUCAGAUCACAUGCCAAUUAUGUCGACGCAACUUAUUUUUCUGCGGUCAUGGGACAACAGAUGA
rnacentral:rRNA from 1 species